rnacentral:lncRNA from 1 species
UCAAGACAUAUUCCGGACACGGAUAUGAUCAACGAGUAAUACAUGACGAUAUUGAUUUAUAAAUGAAAUAUAUAUAUCAAUAGUUAACUGAUACAUGUGAAUGAUUUGAUGAAAUCCAAUUCCAACAAGUUUUUAUCUCAAAAGUUUAUCACGCACUUUUAUUGCAAUUUUAUGUUACGAAACCAAAUCGAAACAAACCCAUACUUAGAAUCAUGGAAUUUGUGUAUGUACAAUUAAUAUCACACUAGUCCCUGUGGAUACGAUAUAACGAAAAUACUUGCUUUUGUACUUUCAUCAG